rnacentral:rRNA from 1 species
GAUGAACGCUAGCUACAGGCCUAACACAUGCAAGUCGUGGGGCAGCGGGUAUGCUUGUUUUCAAGUAUAUGCCGGCGACCGGCGCACGGGUGAGUAACGCGUAUCCAACCUGCCCAUCACAAGGGAAUAACCCGUCGAAAGUCGGCCUAAUGCCCUAUGUAUUCCGAUGAAGUCCUCUGAAUCGGAAUAAAGCAUUUGCGGUGAUGGAUGGGGAUGCGUCUGAUUAGCUUGUCGGCGGGGUAACGGCCCACCGAGGCGACGAUCAGUAGGGGUUUGAGAGGAAGGUCCCCCACAUUGGAACUGAGACACGGUCCAAACUCCUACGGGAGGCAGCAGUGAGGAAUAUUGGUCAAUGGGCGUGAGCCUGAACCAGCCAAGUAGCGUGCAGGAUGACGGCCCUAUGGGUUGUAAACUGCUUUUAUACGGGGAUAAAAGGGUGAACGUGUUCUCCUUUGCAGGUACCGUAUGAAUAAGGACCGGCUAAUUCCGUGCCAGCAGCCGCGGUAAUACGGAAGGUCCUGGCGUUAUCCGGAUUUAUUGGGUUUAAAGGGAGCGCAGGCUGCACUUUAAGCGUGUUGUGAAAUGUACCGGCUCAACCGGUAACGUGCAGCGCGAACUGGGGUGCUUGAGUACGAAGAGGGAAAGCGGAACUCGUGGUGUAGCGGUGAAAUGCUUAGAUAUCACGAGGAACUCCGAUCGCGAAGGCAGCUUUCCGUUUCGGAACUGACGCUGAGGCUCGAAAGUGCGGGUAUCGAACAGGAUUAGAUACCCUGGUAGUCCGCACGGUAAACGAUGGAUGCUCGCUGUUGGAUAUUCUUAUUCAGUGGCUAAGUGAAAACGUUAAGCAUCCCACCUGGGGAGUACGCCGGCAACGGUGAAACUCAAAGGAAUUGACGGGGGCCCGCACAAGCGGAGGAACAUGUGGUUUAAUUCGAUGAUACGCGAGGAACCUUACCCGGGCUUGAAUUGCAGCUGAACGAUCCAGAG